GUCAUCAUCCCAUGAUAGUGGCAUGUCACUGUGAGGGAACUGGAUGGAGAUUCUGGGGAGACAGCAAUUUAAAGAGCAAAUUUUGGGGUCGGUCAAUUCAGCUUGACGCAAUUGGCGUUUUAACUAUAGAAUUUGAUGACGGGGAAAUUUUCCAAUGGAGUAAGGUUACAACAUCUAUAUACAAUCUCACAUUGGGAAAAUUGUACUGCGAACAUUAUGGUACUAUGCGCAUACAAGGAAAUGGUGGCUAUUCAUGUAAGCUGAAAUUCAAGGAACAGUCCAUUAUAAACAGAAAUCCUCACCAGAUUUUCGGUUGGCUAAGGAUGAUGAUCGUAAUAUUGCUAGUGUAUAUAGUUUUGCGAUUAUGUUGCCUAAGGGGAUUAGUGUGGGAAUCAUAAUAAAAGGAGCCUUCCUCUCUGAUGUUCAUUGGAGAUUUUAUGUUUAUGAUAAAAAAGGAAAAGCUACAUGUGACGGCCCAAGCCAAGCGGCAGAGUGCGGGGAAGAGGGAUGGCGGUGCGUCCGUACCUCUACCUAGACGUGCGCAUGGAAGGUGGGGCACCUCUCCUAUCCCACAUCGCCUAGGGAGGGAGCCUGGGGCAUGCUUAUAAGGCUUGAGGAGCCUUAACCUAGUACAACGCGUUUCACACAAGCUUUCGAUGUGCUGAGGACAAAGCCUUGAGUGGGGCUGGCGAUUUCGCCGUCGCAAAGAGGACAAU